rnacentral:rRNA from 1 species
CUCGGCUCUCGCAUCGAUGAAGAACGUAGCGAAAUGCGAUACUUGGUGUGAAUUGCAGAAUCCCGUGAACCAUCGAGUCUUUGAACGCAAGUUGCGCCCGAAGCCGUCAGGCUGAGGGCACGUCUGCCUGGGCGUCACGCAUCGCGUCGCCCCCCUGCUCUGUCC